ensembl:lncRNA
GUCAGUCUGAGAAGUUUGAAGUGAAACAGUUUUCUGGAAUGAGGGCACUCUUCACCCAGUUCCUUAUCUAGACUUCAUGGCUUCCCAGGUGGCGCUAAUGGUAAAGAACCCGCCUGCCAAUGCAGGAGACUUAAGAGACACGGGUUCGAUCCCUGGGUCGGGAAGAUCUCCUAGAGGAGGAAAUGGCAACCCACUCCAGUAUUCUUGCCUGGAGAAUUCCAUGGACAGAGGAGCCUGGCGAGCUACAGUCCAUGGGGUCACAAAGAGUCAGACCUGACUGAACGAUUUAGCAUACAGCUGGAGAGGAGAGAGGCUAGGAACAGGGAGACCGGUAAGGAAGGCAUGAUGUGGCAAGAGCCCUGGGCUCGAACAGAAAAGGUCUGUAUUCUCAGUUCCCACUUUGCUGCUUACUGGCUGUAGAGCCUUGAGAUGACUGUAGUUUCCUUUUCCUCUUCUGUGAAAUUCUUGUCCUUUUUGAUAUUGUACUUCAAAGUGUUUGUAACAUGCUAAGUAAGACAUAAUGCUGUGCUUUGAAUGCAGUGGGUUCGAAAUAAACGUUUGUUGAAUGACAAAGAAAAAGUGGUGUUGAUUAAUGAAAAGAAUGGAAGCCCUGGAACCUCAGCCCCUGCAGUCUGCCAGCGAUUUGCUGACUCUUAUAGGAAGAAAAGUAAAUAUCCGAAGCCACCAAAUCUCAUGAUCAGAAGAAAGACUUUCUGGAUCAGUUGGAAACUCCUAGGGGAUGCUAAAGUUAUAUCAGAGGUGAAUAAGUCAUGAGGUUUUCAUGCUGACAUUAUUUCUAAGAUUGCUGCCGUACUGAGGAGAUAAACCACAAGGUACACCAUCCAGAACUUUUAUGAAAAAAAAGCUUCCUGAAGGAUGAAUGCUUCAUUUGCUUUAACUGCUUGCAUAUGUACUUACUAAUGAGUCAUUUUUUUCUUAAUUGGUAAUAUGCUUUAAAUUGGUCAUAAGAUAUUACAUCAAGUAGUCUAAUGUUACACAACAGUUGAAAAAAAGUUGACAGGCCACCAGCUGAAUAAAGGAAAAUGUGAUUCUUUUUGAGCUUAAAAUGUAUGAAUCGGUAAUAGUUACCUUGGUCUUUAUGUUGUAAGAUUGGAUUUAUUGAAACUUCUCCCUUAUGUUCAAAAAUCAGAGCCCCUUUCUUUGCCUCUGAAAUCUCUUCUGCCUCUUGUACUCAUUGAGAGUUCCACUCCUUAUUUGGGGUCUGCUUACUUUUAAGAUAUAUCUGUUUCUCCCUGUUUUUGAACUAUUAUAAAUUUUGUAUAUACUUUUAUUAGAGUAUUGAUAACACCUAGUUUACAUGUUUGUUUUCUUAACUAAGCUGUGAUCUGGAGAGCAGGGAUUAUGUAUUUUUGCCUUUUAUUUUUCCAGUGUUCAGAACUAUCCACAGUAUAGGAAAGCACUUAAUAAAUGGAACAAAAGAAUAAAUCAAGAUGGAUAGAUAAAUAAAUGAUUUUGCUUGCAUAAGGUA